GGAAAAUUCAUAACGACCUAAAGUUGAGGACAUUUCUCUCCAGAGUCUGCUUUGCGUCUCAAACAGAUCAAAUCAGCAUGACGUCGGGCUACAGAACGAGAUUGUGAGGGGCUCUGUUUCUGUCUUUGGUUAUCUAGCUGUAUGAGUUUUAAAUACAGCAUAAAGCUAGAUAACCGAAAGUAGAAACGACUUCCAUAACGUUGAGUUUAUUCCCGAAAAAAAGAGGACUCCUCAGGCUUUCAACUCAUAAAGACUUCCGAUUAACAUCAUUGAAUGAACGCUGUUUCCUGAAAAGAGGGCAAACCAUCGUUAAAAGAAAACGAGGAGAGAGAAAAAACGGUUGGGCCGGAAUUGCCACCUCCUCCUCUCCCCUCCCCCACUCUCACCCUUUUUGCCCAAGAGCCUCUAAUGCCAUCUGCACUGCCAACGGGGGACACUUUGCCCGUGCCAGGAGGCGGACAAAGAGCCUGCCGGAUCCCUGGAGUAUGGGCGUGCUCAGAGGAGCCAUCUUAAGAAACGUUGCCGCGAAACCUAAAAUGGCUGGGCUGGCAUACGAGGAUGGGACAGGACCUGCACGCCUUUCUUUAUGAACCUGCUGUUGGACAUUGUGGACCAAAUUCAAAGAUGACGUCAGCAGAGACACAAUAUGAUUUCAGAUAUUCAGCCGCCCAAAGGGGAGAGUCUUACGAGAUGUUAAAUAACUGUAUGCCUAAAAUGCACAACUAAUGCUUGCUAUGCAUAUAAAUACCAUGAUUUCAUGUCUGUCAACUCAUCAUGAUUAAUGAAAUGAUAUUCACACAUUCUUGUCAUUUUAAAUGGUUUAUUGUUUGUAUGAUUUUGAAUAAAAAUAAUGAACAUAUA